UGGAGGCGCACCCGGUCCCUAUCGCGGCCCCCUCCUCGGCCACUUCUUGCGUGAGGAUCUCCGAGGACCCGUAGAUUUGCUCCUUCCCGCCAAAGAUACCCUUGCCUCCAGGAGGACUUCAGUGAUUGCUGGCAUUGGAACUACCAGGCCCAGGAGAGAGGUGAGAAGGCAAUUUCCCAGGAGGCGCUGACAUCAAUGCUGGAAACGAGGAGGACUUCAGGGAUUGCUGGCAUUGGAACUACCAGAUGUGGCUGAUGUUGGCUCACCUGGCCCCAAGCGGCACCAUGGACAGAGACUCCUGCCGAUGGAGGCCAUCCAGGCUGGGCGCCAGGCUCUGAGGCCUGGAGCAAAGACCAAGCAAGCCCGUCAUGGCGCGAUGGAUGAGAGCAGGACCAGGCUGAGGUCCCAACCCUGGGUCCCCACCUACUGGACGUGAGACCCUGAGCAAGUCCCUCAGCCCGUCUUGAGGCUCAGUUUUCUCAUCUGUGAAACAGGUCAGAAAAGCCUUCCUUUGGGCUGGCAGGUGG